UACGUAGGGUUCGAGCGUUAAUCGGAAUUACUGGGCGUAAAGCGUGCGCAGGCGGCUUUGCAAGACAGAUGUGAAAUCCCCGGGCUCAACCUGGGAACUGCAUUUGUGACUGCAAGGCUAGAGUACGGCAGAGGGGGAUGGAAUUCCGCGUGUAGCAGUGAAAUGCGUAGAUAUGCGGAGGAACACCAAUGGCGAAGGCAAUCCCCUGGGCCUGUACUGACGCUCAUGCACGAAAGCGUGGGGAGCAAACAGG
rnacentral:rRNA from 1 species